rnacentral:rRNA from 1 species
CCUACGGGGUGCAGCAGUGGGGAAUAUUUCACAAUGGGCGAAAGCCUGAUGCAGCAACGCCGCGUGAGCGAUGGAGGCCUUCGGGUCGUAAAGCUCUGUCCUCAAGGAAGAUAAUGACGGUACUUGAGGAGGAAGCCCCGGCUAACUACGUGCAAGCAGCCGCGGUAAUACUUAGGGGGCUAGCGGUAUCCGGAAUUACUGGUCGAAAAGGGUGCGUAGGUGGUUUCUUAAGUCAGAGGUGAAAGGGUAGGGCUAAACCGUAGUAAGCCUUUGAAACUGGGGAACUUGAGUGCAGGAGAGGAGAGUGGAAUUCCUAGUGUAGCGGUGAAAUGCGUAGAUAUUAGGAGGAACACCAGUGGCGAAGGCGGCUCUCUGGACUGUAACUGACACUGAGGCACGAAAGCGUGGGGAGCAAACAGGAUUAGAUACCCGAGUAGUC